rnacentral:rRNA from 1 species
UCCGCCCAGGGUAAGUCGGGACCUAAGGAGAGGCCGAAAAGCGUAUCCGAUGGACAGCAGGUAGAAAUUCCUGCACUGCGAAAUACUUAAAAGAUGCAGAUGACACAAGAGUGGAAGAUAAGCGAGGAAGAGGAAAAACUCGAAUCGAAAGAUAUAGUGAAAAAAAAGUAACGAAUUAUCAAGAAGCUAAUGGCGAGAAAAGUCUGUAGAUAUUGUAUUUAGUACCCGUACCGCAAACCGACACAGGUAGAUGAGGAGAAGAUCCUAAGAUGAGCGAGAGAAGCAUUGUUAAGGAACUCGGCAAACUGACCCCGUAACUUCGGAAUAAGGGGUGCUGGUGUAAAAGCCAGUCGCAGAGAAUAGUCCCAAGCAACUGUUUAACAAAAACACAGGUUUCUGCUAAAUCGAAAGAUGAAGUAUAGGAGCUGACACCUGCCCAGUGCUGGAAGGUUAAGGGAAAGGGUUAGGAGCAAUCCGAAGCCUAGAACUAAAGCCCCAGUGAACGGCGGCCGUAACUAUAACGGUCCUAAGGUAGCGAAAUUCCUUGUCAGGUAAGUUCUGACCCGCACGAAAGGUGUAAUGAUUUGGGAGCUGUCUCGACAAUGUACUCGGCGAAAUUGUAGUACUAGUGAAGAUGCUAGUUACCUGCGACAAGACAGAAAGACCCCAUGGAGCUUUACUGCAGCUUGAUACUGGGUUUCGGUAAUUUAUGUACAGGAUAGGUGGGAUACGAUGAAGCAAGUGCGCCAGCAUUUGUGGAGUAGACGUUGGGAUACCACCCUUAAAUUACUGAAAUUCUAACUAUAAGUCCUAAGCGGGCUUGAGGACAAUGUCAGGCGGGCAGUUUGACUGGGGCGGUCGCCUCCUAAAGAGUAACGGAGGCGCGCAAAGGUUUCCUCAGCGCGGACAGAAAUCGCGCGAAAGAGUGCAAAGGCAGAAGGAAGCUUAACUGAGAGACUGACAAGUCGACCAGAUACGAAAGUAGGUCUUAGUGAUCCGGUGGUAGUAAGUGGAAAUGCCAUCGCUCAACGGACAAAAGUUACCCUGGGGAUAACAGGCUUAUCUCCCCCAAGAGUUCACAUCGACGGGGAGGUUUGGCACCUCGAUGUCGGCUCAUCACAUCCUGGAGCGGAAGUACGUUCCAAGGGUUGGGCUGUUCGCCCAUUAAAGUGGUACGCGAGCUGGGUUCAGAACGUCGUGAGACAGUUCGGUCCUUAUCUGUCGCAGGCGGAGGAUAUUUGAAGGGAGUUGACCUUAGUACGAGAGGACCAGGUUGAAGGAACCGAUGGUGCACCAGUUGUACUACCAAGUGCAUAGCUGGAUAGCUAAGUUCCGAAGGGAUAAACGCUGAAAGCAUCUAAGUGUGAAGCCCACCCUAAGAUAAGAUAUCCCAUAUCGUAAGAUAGUAAGAUUCCAUUAAGACUAAGUGGUUGAUAGGUUGGAGGUGUAAGUAUAGUGAUAUAUUGAGCUGACCAAUACUAAUAAAUCGAGGGCUUAACUA